GACGAACGCUGGCGGCGUGCUUAACACAUGCAAGUCGAACGGCAACGCCCUGUUUUGCUGGGGUGCUCGAGUGGCGAACGGGUGAGUAACACGUGAGCAACCUGCCCCUGACUUUGGAAUAAGUCCAGGAAACGGGGACUAAUACCGGAUACGAGAUGGUGCCGCAUGGGGAGCUUCGGAACGUUUGUGCGGUUGGGGAUGGACUCGCGGCUUAUCAGCUUGUUGGUGGGGUAGUGGCUGACCAAGGCUUCGACGGGUAGCCGGCCUGAGAGGGCGACCGGCCACAAUGGGACUGAGAGACGGCCCAGACUCCUACGGGAGGCAGCAGUGGGGAAUAUUGCACAGUGGGCGGGAGCCUGAUGCAGCGACGCCGCGUGUGGGAUGACGGCCUUCGGGUUGUAAACCGCUUUCGGCUGAGACGAAGCGUGAGUGACGGUACCUGCAGAAGAAGCACCGGCUAACUACGUG
rnacentral:rRNA from 1 species